UGGGGGAGGAGCAAAAGGGGAGUUGGCAGUUGGGAUGUGCUGCUGGGGGUGGUUUUUUGGUUGUCAAGUUUUGCUUCUGUUUAGGUGUAGCAGCAUAGAAUAUGUUCAAAAGUUACCUUUCUUGCUGUUAUUAAAUUCUUUUUCCAACAGUGGAACUGCAGAAGAGGCUCUACGUAAUAACCUGUGAUCAGGAUGCUGGUUAUAGGCUGGUAAGCAAUUGAAGAAGCCUGUCUUUCCACGAUUCAGAGCAUAUAAUAAGAAAUGAAAGCAAGAAGCAGCUCGAUAAUGUGAUAGUGCCAUUCAUUAUUCCUCCAACUGAAAGGAUUCUGCUUCCUUGCAGACCACUGAGGUCAUUUUUGUCACUGAAAGCUGAGUGAGGGCAGAUCGCAUGACGUCAUCUGGCCUGGCUGUUGCAUGCAGCAGAGAAAGGCUCUUGCAGUGAGAGCAAGACUGGGCCUGGAGCGCGGUAGUGAAUGUGUGGAUGGAUUUGAAAGCCAAUGCAGGAGCUUCAGCUGUGCCACCCUGGGAAAACAGAUCCUUAGAUGAACAGACUGUGUGGGGAGCAUGUAGCUUCAGUUGUACAACGGGCAGGUAUAACUUAAGUCCGCCCUGCUUCCUACUGCUGUUCUUUUCCAGUUGCUGUACAGCAGUCUCUGUAUGUCACUGUAUGUAACAGUGUUCCCCUUGUCAAAUGAUUUUAGCCCCUGUGAGGAGACAUGAUAGUAAAGGAGAACCCUGGCUGUUCUUACAUAUUUAUCUUUUAAUAAAUUGUUGGUGACCUUAUG